rnacentral:rRNA from 1 species
AUUGAACGCUGGCGGCAUGCCUUACACAUGCAAGUCGAACGGCAGCACGGGUGCUUGCACCUGGUGGCGAGUGGCGAACGGGUGAGUAAUACAUCGGAACAUGUCCUGUAGUGGGGGAUAGCCCGGCGAAAGCCGGAUUAAUACCGCAUACGAUCUACGGAUGAAAGCGGGGGACCUUCGGGCCUCGCGCUAUAGGGUUGGCCGAUGGCUGAUUAGCUAGUUGGUGGGGUAAAGGCCUACCAAGGCGACGAUCAGUAGCUGGUCUGAGAGGACGACCAGCCACACUGGGACUGAGACACGGCCCAGACUCCUACGGGAGGCAGCAGUGGGAAAUUUGGACAAUGGGCGAAAGCCUGAUCCAGCAAUGCCGCGUGUGUGAAGAAGGCCUUCGGGUUGUAAAGCACUUUUGUCCGGAAAGAAAUCCUUGGCCCUAAUACGGUCGGGGGAUGACGGUACCGGAAGAAUAAGCACCGGCUAACUACGUG